AGGUUGUGGCUCAGUGGUAGAGCGCUUACCUAGCAUGCAUGAGGCACUGGGUUCAAUCCUCAGCACCACCUA
rnacentral:tRNA from 1 species